rnacentral:rRNA from 1 species
AACGAACGCUGGCGGCAUGCCUAACACAUGCAAGUCGAACGAGAUCUUCGGGUCUAGUGGCGCACGGGUGCGUAACGCGUGGGAAUCUGCCCUUUGGUUCGGAAUAACAGUUGGAAACGACUGCUAAUACCGGAUGAUGGCGAAAGUCCAAAGAUUUAUCGCCAGAGGAUGAGCCCGCGUAGGAUUAGCUAGUUGGUGUGGUAAAGGCGCACCAAGGCGACGAUCCUUAGCUGGUCUGAGAGGAUGAUCAGCCACACUGGGACUGAGACACGGCCCAGACUCCUACGGGAGGCAGCAGUGGGGAAUAUUGGACAAUGGGCGAAAGCCUGAUCCAGCAAUGCCGCGUGAGUGAUGUAGGCCUUAGGGUUGUAAAGCUCUUUUACCCGGGAUGAUAAUAACAGUACCGGGAGAAUAAGCUCCGGCUAACUCCGUGCCAGCCGCCGCGGUAA